GCCUGUUCUAGAACCGAUAACCCCCGUUCAACCUCACCCUUCCUUGUUUAACCCGCCUAUAUACCGCCGUCGUCAGCUUACCCUGUGAAGGAUUAAUAGUAAGCAAAACUGGUACAACCUAAAACGUCAGGUCGAGGUGUAGCGUAUGGAGGGGGAAGAAAUGGGCUACAUUCGCUACUACAGCGAACACGAAUGAUGUACUGAAACGUAUAUCUGAAGGAGGAUUUAGCAGUAAGCAGGAAAUAGAGCGUCCCGCUGAAACUGGCCCUGAAGCGCGCACACACCGCCCGUCACUCUCCCCAAAAACACCAGCCAAUUAACUAAAACCUAAUAAUUAAAAAGGGGAGGCAAGUCGUAACAUGGUAAGUGUACCGGAAGGUGCGCUUGGAAAA
rnacentral:rRNA from 1 species